GACGAACGCUGGCGGCGUGCCUAAUACAUGCAAGUAGGACGCAGUUGCGAACGGGUGAGUAACGCGUAGGUAACUACCUAUUAGAGGGGGAUAACUAUUGGAAACGAUAGCUAAUACCGCAUACUAGUAGAUGGACCUGCGUUGUCUUAGCUAGUAGGUAGGGUAAUGGGCUACCUAGGCAACGAUACAUAGCCGACAUGAGAAGGGGGACGGACAAACUGGGACUGGGACACGGCCGAGACACCAACGGGAGGCAGCAGUAGGGAAACAUCGGCAAUGGGGCGAACCCUGACCGAGCAACGCCGGGUGAGUGAAGGAGGUUUUCGGAUGGUAAAGCUCUGUUGUUAAGGAAGCGGUACUUAACGAGAAAGGGACGGCUAACUACGUGCCAGCAGCAGCGGUAAUUC
rnacentral:rRNA from 1 species